GAUGAACGCUGGCGGUAUGCUUAACACAUGCAAGUCGAACGGUCACUUCGGUGAUAGUGGCGGACGGGUGAGUAACGCGUGAGAAUCUGUCUUCAGGUCGGGGACAACAGUUAGAAAUGACUGCUAAUACCGGAUGUGCCUUUGGGUGAAAGAUUUAUUGCCUGAAAAAGAGCUCGCGUCAGAUUAGCUAGUAGGUGGUGUAAGAGACUACCUAGGCUCCGAUCUGUAGCUGGUCUGAGAGGACGAUCAGCCACACUGGAACUGAGACACGGUCCAGACUCGGACGGAAGGGAGCAGUGGGGAAUUUACCGGAAGGGGCGAAAGCCUGACAGAGCAAUACCGGGGGAGGGACGAAGCGUUUUGGGUAGUAAACCUCUUUUCUCAAGGAAGAUGAUGACGGUACUUGAGAAAUAAGCAUCGGCUAACUACGUG
rnacentral:rRNA from 1 species